ensembl:lncRNA
AUUCAACAAAAGCCUUUUAUUCAUUCAAAAAUUAACCAUUGGGUUUAUUCCGCAGAUAUUUAAAAAAAAAAAAAAAAAAGAGGGGGGGGCAAGGCUUCCCAUCACAGUGCCCUUAAGUUAAUUCACUUGCUAUCCAGGGAUGGCCUAGCAGAGGGGUGUCUGGGAAACGCUGCCAGAAAUGUGGUGGCCCACAGCCUCUGAGGACUCACAGCUCCCUCCUCACCUCCCCACUCCAGCCUCCCUCCGGACCACCCGUCCAGUGGGGUUGCAGCCCCAGGUGCGUUGGCGGCUUACCAGCACCAGGGGGCGCGCCGCGCUUCCUUAGAUCUCUUAAAAUCAAACGCUGAAACCGCGCUGGGGACACGGUGACUUUCUGCCUGGCGGGUGGGCAAUGGAGGCUUUUUCCAGAGAGAAGCUGACUCUCCAGGAAGGGAUCCCAGGCAUCCUGACCUCCCCACCAACCCCCUCCCAAAAGAGACAAAGUUCCUGAAACCCCAGGUGCACUUGUCUAGGAAAUGGGCUGUCAAAUUGAAAAGCAUUUCAGGGGAAGAGAUGUCAGUACAGAGGAUGACACGUACGCUUGCCUUGAUGUUAUUUUAAACGUGGCCUGCUUAGAUCAUGGAAAAUCGGAACAUUCUUCUAAGUCAGCAUCAACACAAAGUGAGGAACAGACGCUACGAGGAAGACGCCAGGCCGUGGUCGACUGGCUGCCUGGGGCUGGUGCCUGCCCUGGCCCCAGUGUGAGGCUCUGCAGAGGGACUACGGGCGUGCCCUCUGCAUCAGAGCAUCUGAAGGGAGCCGCAUUGGGUGGCAAACGCCGCUGUGGAGAGGCACACGGGCUGCUCAGGAGGCACCUGGCUUAGGAUUCUGCAGCAUCACUGCAGCUAGAGGCCUGGGGAGAGGAAGGGGCAGAGAUCGGUCCCUGCCGGGCAACCUCCAGUGAAAAUGGCCAGUGUCCAGCACCCUGCCAGGGCCGGGAAGGGUGGCCCUUCCGACAGUUCUGGGCUGGCUCGGGGUGGGGACCCACCAGCACGCUGGGCUGCGGUCGGCAAGGAUACCGUCUGCUAAGGUCAGAAGCCACACUUGUGGCUUCAAACCAAAAGGCCAAAGGGCAGGAUGAUGGAGGAAGGCCGGACACACCGAAGGGGUCCACAUGCUUAACCCCAGACACCCUCAGCCACAGGCCAAGCUGUACAACAGUGUCAGUCCCAUUGGACCAGAGAGGCAAAUCAAGCCUCAGGCAGAGGCCAAAGAAAAGUAAUUUGACCUGGGAAAGUCCUCCUUCAUCCUCUCAGCCCCGAAUCACCAUGUUCAUCCCCUGCCCCAGACCCCAGGUCAGAGCCUGGCUGAGAAACUUCAGCCAUUGGUGCUGAGUCCCAGGUAGCCCAGGCCAGUGGCUGAGCAGGGAGCCGACCGGCAGGGGCCUCAAAGAAUCCACCCUUCAAAGUGGCCUGUGAAGGUGGAAGCACUGACCCCAUCCCUGCAGGAUGUUGGUGGGGGAGGGGGGUUACGGUCGAGCCAGCAUGCAGCCCUAGAGGGCUGCCAAUAAAUGCCUCAGGGGUGAUGCUGGGGUUGGCUGAAUGCUCCAGCCAAGGGGAACAGCCACGCAGCCCCACAUAGCAAUGUCGCUCCAGCAGAGGCCUUCCUCGGGCUGGAGACCUGCUUGCUGAGGGUGGGAACCGAGGACCAAAGUGUCCCCUCUAAAACAUGGGAUGAUAGGCUGUUGACUUUGCAAAGCAGCAGCAAGAAUUCUAGACCCAGGCCUGGCCCUGACAGUCUGAGAAGCUGCUUCUCACCUCAAGCCUUCCCUGGGCAAGGACUCCUUCUGGGCCCAAAGGGAGCUCAAGGGCCGGCGGGGGGGUGGGGGUGGACCAGGAAAUGCUGCGGGAAGGGACAAGGUGUGCCAUAUGACACAUUCAUCUGUUGGAACAGACCCCACACACCAGUAGCCAUGCAAUAGGGGCUACGCUGUGACUCAGACAGUCCCUGAGGCUGUUGGGGUCGAGCAAACUUAACCACACAAUCACCAGCCACGGGAAACUGAACCCCAGGCCUAGAAUUACACCAUGUCAGCAUGGAAAAGGGCCUUCAAGACCAACCAGCCCAGGCCUCCUCGCUCUGCAGAUGGGGCAACUGAGACCCAGAGAGGGCAGGAGGCUGCCCACAAUCAAAGAGCAAAGGCUGGACCUCGGGCUCCUACCUCUGACCCAGGGUGGCCUCACAUUCCUGGUGAUGGUCCUGGGAACGCGCCUGCCUCAGUGGCAGGCAGAGCUGGAAGCCUCCGUGAAGACAUGUGGGCCACAGCCCCAGGAGUAGGGACUACCUUGAUGGGAUUGCCUAGAACUCUUCUCUCCUUUCCUCCCUCCCAGCCUUUGAGCCAAGAGAGGGCCAGGGAAGGACGCCAUGCAGUUUACUGGAAAAAGCAGAUAGGAAGGCGGGAAGGCAGAGCAGGAGAGAGUCAUGAACUAUCUUCAAAUCCCUCCCCAGCCCAGGUA